rnacentral:rRNA from 1 species
UGUUCUAACGUGGACCCGUGAUCCGGGUUGCGGACAGUGUCUGGUGGGUAGUUUGACUGGGGCGGUCUCCUCCUAAAGAGUAACGGAGGAGCACGAAGGUUGGCUAAUCCUGGUCGGACAUCAGGAGGUUAGUGCAAUGGCAUAAGCCAGCUUGACUGCGAGCGUGACGGCGCGAGCAGGUGCGAAAGCAGGUCAUAGUGAUCCGGUGGUUCUGAAUGGAAGGGCCAUCGCUCAACGGAUAAAAGGUACUCCGGGGAUAACAGGCUGAUACCGCCCAAGAGUUCAUAUCGACGGCGGUGUUUGGCACCUCGAUGUCGGCUCAUCACAUCCUGGGGCUGAAGUAGGUCCCAAGGGUAUGGCUGUUCGCCAUUUAAAGUGGUACGCGAGCUGGGUUUAGAACGUCGUGAGACAGUUCGGUCCCUAUCUGCCGUGGGCGCUGGAGAACUGAGGGGGGCUGCUCCUAGUACGAGAGGACCGGAGUGGACGCAUCACUGGUGUUCGGG